rnacentral:rRNA from 1 species
UACGUAGGGGGCAAGCGUUGUCCGGAUUUAUUGGGCGUAAAGAGCGUGUAGGCGGCCAGACAGGUCUGCUGUGAAAACUCGAGGCUCAACCUCGAGACGUCGGCGGAAACCAUCUGGCUAGAGUCCGGAAGAGGAGAGUGGAAUUCCUGGUGUAGCGGUGAAAUGCGCAGAUAUCAGGAAGAACACCCGUGGCGAAGGCGGCUCUCUGGGACGGUACUGACGCUGAGACGCGAAAGCGUGGGGAGCGAACAGG